GUGCCAGCAGCCGCGGUAAUACGGGGGGGGCAAGCGUUGUUCGGAAUUACUGGGCGUAAAGGGCGUGUAGGCGGCUUGGUAAGUCAGUUGUGAAAGCCCCAGGCUCAACUUGGGAAUUGCAACUGAAACUGCUUGGCUAGAGUUCAGGAGAGGAAAGCGGAACUCCCAGUGUAGCGGUGAAAUGCGUAGAUAUUGGGAGGAACACCGGUGGCGAAGGCGGCUUUCUGGACUGAAACUGACGCUGAGGCGCGAAAGCCAGGGGAGCAAACGGGAUUAGAUACCCCAGUAGUCC
rnacentral:rRNA from 1 species